rnacentral:rRNA from 1 species
AAAACUCUGUUGUUAGGGAAGAACAAGUUAGGUAGUAACUGACCUGACCUUGACGGUACCUAACCAGAAAGCCACGGCUAACUACGUGCCAGCAGCCGCGGUAAUACGUAGGUGGCAAGCGUUGUCCGGAUUUAUUGGGCGUAAAGCGCUCGCAGGCGGUCUUUUAAGUCUGAUGUGAAAGCCCACGGCUUAACCGUGGAGGGUCAUUGGAAACUGGAGGACUUGAGUGCAGAAGAGGAGAGUGGAAUUCCAUGUGUAGCGGUGAAAUGCGUAGAGAUAUGGAGGAACACCAGUGGCGAAGGCGACUCUCUGGUCUGUAACUGACGCUGAGGAGCGAAAGCGUGGGUAGCGAACAGGAUUAGAUACCCUGGUAGUCCACGCCGUAAACGAUGAGUGCUAGGUGUUAGGGGGUUUCCGCCCCUUAGUGCUGAAGUUAACGCAUUAAGCACUCCGCCUGGGGAGUACGGCCGCAAGGCUGAAACUCAAAAGAAUUGACGGGGACCCGCACAAGCGGUGGAGCAUGUGGUUUAAUUCGAAGCAACGCGAAGAACCUUACCAGGUCUUGACAUCCUUUCGACCUCCCUAGAGAUAGGGAUUUCCCUUCGGGGACGAAAGUGACA